UACGUAGGGUGCAAGCGUUGUCCGGAAUUAUUGGGCGUAAAGAGCUCGUAGGCGGUUUGUCGCGUCUGCUGUGAAAACGCGAGGCUCAACCUCGCGCCUGCAGUGGGUACGGGCAGACUAGAGUGCGGUAGGGGAGAUUGGAAUUCCUGGUGUAGCGGUGGAAUGCGCAGAUAUCAGGAGGAACACCGAUGGCGAAGGCAGGUCUCUGGGCCAUAACUGACGCUGAGAAGCGAAAGCAUGGGGAGCGAACGGG
rnacentral:rRNA from 1 species